GCUUCCAGCAAGAAGUAUUAACUUGCUGAGAACUGUAGCUCGAGGUUGAAACUCAAACAAAACAAAAAGCAAAAACUUCCAACAAACAACUAAGAAACAUCAUCGAAGAUAGUUCACUUAAUUUGAAGAAGAUUCAUCGUAAGAAAGAUAUUACAAUCGGCAUAAUCAAUACUGCUAUCAAUGAAACUUAAGACAUUCAAUCAUCACACAGAAGUUUCUAGACGUGAGCUAUUCGAAACCAAAGGAUAUUUAUAAAACGAUUUCAUAACUUUUCUUCGGAUCUGCGGACAUAAAUUGCUACGUAAUUUUUAACGAUAACAAUGAACAAGUC